UGUAACACCAGCAUGGCCAAGUAAACUACCUGAAGCUCCAGUCAAUUGAUGUUGUGGUGGUAUUCUGACUGUCCAUCGUCCUUGCGCAUUGAGAUUCAAGCACUGGCCCCCCCAUCCUGACAAGCUUGCAUCUGUGGCACUGAGACCUCUGAGACAGAAGAGGUUGAGCUAGAGGAAGAAGACGGAUUAUUUCUGGUCCGUUUACGCUUCUUGGACUUUAAUUGGUCAUAUCUUUCAAAGGAAUUUUUCAAUGGGCGCAUAGCAAGCUCCAGAACCAAGGAGGCGGGGCAGAGCCCUGGAUAAGGUCAC